CGGACCGGCGGCACGGGUGAGUAACGCGUAUCCAACCUGCCCUUUACUAUGGGACAGCCCGUCGAAAGGCGGAUUAAUACCGUAUGUUGUCAUGUUGAUGCAUAUUUUCAUGACCAAAGGCUUCGGCCGGUAAAGGAUGGGGAUGCGUCUGAUUAGCUUGCCGGCGGGGUAACGGCCCACCGUGGCGACGAUGCGUAGGGGUUCUGAGAGGAAGGCCCCCCACACUGGGACUGAGACACGGCCCAGACUCCUACGGGAGGCAGCAG
rnacentral:rRNA from 1 species